rnacentral:rRNA from 1 species
GACGAACGCUGGCGGCGUGCUUAACACAUGCAAGUCGAACGAAGUGGCGAACGGGUGAGUAACGCGUAAUCAACCUGCCCUUCAGCGGGGGACAACAGUUGGAAACGACUGCUAAUACCGCAUACUGAAGGAGGGGAUUGCGUCUGAUUAGCUAGUUGGCGGGGUAACGGCCGACCAAGGCGAGGAGCGGUAGCCGGUGUGGUGGGUGUAACGGCCACAUUGGGACUGGGACACGGCCCAGACUCCUACGGGAGGCAGCAGUGGGGAGUCUUCCGCAAUGGACGAAAGUCUGACGAAGCAACUCCGGGUGAGUGAUGACGGCUUUCGGGUUGUAAAGCUCUGUUAAUCGGGACGCGGUACCGGAAUAGAAAGCCACGGCUAACUACGUGCCAGCAGCCGCGGUAAUAC